AGAGUUUGAUCCUGGCUCAGGAUGAACGCUAGCUACAGGCUUAACACAUGCAAGUCGAGGGGAAACGACAUCGAAAGCUUGCUUUUGAUGGGCGUCGACCGGCGCACGGGUGAGUAACGCGUAUCCAACCUGCCCACCACUUGGGGAUAACCUUGCGAAAGUAAGACUAAUACCCAAUGACGUCUCUAGAAGACAUCUGAAAGGGAUUAAAGAUUUAUCGGUGAUGGAUGGGGAUGCGUCUGAUUAGCUUGUUGGCGGGGUAACGGCCACCAAGGCUACGAUCAGUAGGGGUUCUGAGAGAAGGUCCCCCANAUUGGAACUGAGACACGGUCCAACUCCUACGGGGAGCA
rnacentral:rRNA from 1 species